UACAGGGGGGGCAAGCGUUGUUCGGAAUUACAGGGCGUAAAGGGCCAGUAGGCGGCCAACUAAGUCACACGUGAAAUCCCCAGGCUUAACCUGGGAACUGCGUGUGAUACUGGAUGGCUUGAAUUCGGGAGAGGGAUGCAGAAUUCCAGGUGUAGCGGUGAAAUGCGUAGAUAUCUGGAGGAAUACCGGUGGCGAAGGCGGCAUCCUGGACCGACAUUGACGCUGAACGGCGAAAGCUAGGGGAGCAAACGGG
rnacentral:rRNA from 1 species